rnacentral:rRNA from 1 species
GAUGAACGCUGGCGGCGUGCCUAAUACAUGCAAGUCGAGCGAACAGAUGAGGAGCUUGCUCCUUUGACGUUAGCGGCGGACGGGUGAGUAACACGUGGGUAACCUACCUAUAAGACUGGGAUAACUUCGGGAAACCGGAGCUAAUACCGGAUAACAUUUGGAACCGCAUGGUUCUACAGUGAAAGAUGGUUUUGCUAUCACUUAUAGAUGGACCCGCGCCGUAUUAGCUAGUUGGUAAGGUAACGGCUUACCAAGGCGACGAUACGUAGCCGACCUGAGAGGGUGAUCGGCCACACUGGAACUGAGACACGGUCCAGACUCCUACGGGAGGCAGCAGUAGGGAAUCUUCCGCAAAGGGCGAAAGCCUGACGGAGCAACGCCGCGUGAGUGAUGAAGGUCUUCGGAUCGUAAAACUCUGUUAUUAGGGAAGAACAAAUGUGUAAGUAACUGUGCACGUCUUGACGGUACCUAAUCAGAAAGCCACGGCUAACUACGUG